rnacentral:rRNA from 1 species
AUGCCCUGGAAGAAUCAAGAACCUACAAGCAUAUGCGAAGGAGGAAGCACAAGUAAGAGAGCAAAGGCCUCCUCGCCUCGCAAUUCUGACCGAGAAGAUUCUCCGCCUCGGCGCGACGGCUUCACACGUAUGAUGCGAAGGAGGAUGCGUCCUCGCGGUUAUCCUAUGCCGGAUGGUGUUUAUGGGGGCAUGCGCUUGGUGAACACCUUUGAGCUUUGUUUCAAAGAGUUAGAUGGCUACAAUGAAGAUCACACGAAGAUCAAAUUACUUGCUUUAAGCGUGUCUCAGUCUAUUGUCUCGCUUGCUUCGUUUAAGGGGAAAACGCGACAGUUUACGUGCACAGGCACAAUUGUAGGACGCACGCCAUCCAGCAUGAGCAUUCUAACAUCUGCUAGUUUAGUGAGAUGCACCAACGAUGAAACUGAGAUAGAUGAUAAACUGAAGAUUAAGGUGCGCCUGCCCAACGGCAAGAUUGUUCCAGGAAAAUUGUGGAAAUACGAUCUGUAUUAUAAUAUUGCUGUUGUCAACAUGAAGGCUUUCCCUGAAUUUCGUGCAGCCGACAUUCAUAAUCAAGUCGAAGCUAAUGCCAAAUUACCUCAAAGUAAACUGGUAGCCAUUGGACGAGCUUUUGAAUCCGGAGAACUAAUGGCUACAGCUGGCACACUGCUGUAUAAAACUACCAAACUUGACUGCCAGGAACUCAUGACCUCUUCUUGUUAUAUCACAAAGGCUGGAAUUGGUGGGCCCCUUAUUGGUUAUGGUGGAAACUUCUUUGGCAUGAACUUUUGUUCAGAUGAUGGAACUCCUUUCUUACCAGCCAGUCUACUUUCGAAAUGUUUAAAGCACUUUGAUACAUUUGGGAGAGUUGUGCAGCCAUGGCUUGGUCUGAGGAUUGGAUCACUUCAAGCUCAAAAGCUGGGUACCCGUGUAGAACUACACGACAGCUUCCCCGAUGCACAUGGAAUCUAUGUAGAGAGGGUUUUUGAUGGAUCCCCGGCAGCAAAUUCUGGAAUGAAAGUUGGCGAUGUCAUUACCAAGCUUGAUGAAGUCCCUUUGUUCAGUGCACAAGAGUUCCAUAAGCUGGUUUUGGACAAGACGGAGAGUACUACGCAACACGGUGAUGUGAUGCCUUUUGAGGUAUCUGUCCUAAGGCCGGGUAACAGUUUUGACUUCUGUGCAACUAUCAACGCUGAAGUGAUUGACAUGAGCAAACAAAACAGAUGGCCGGUACCCAAGACCAAGUGGAUAUAUCCAGAUAAUGAAUAUGAUGAUGAGGGGCCCCUUGUUCGAAAGUGCUCCCGACCUGACUAUCGAUAUCCUUCCCCCGAUGAGGACGAGUCCACACAAGAUUGUGAUGAAGAGUGA